AUUAGGAAUCUUGCACAAUGGGGGAAACCCUGAUGCAGCGACGCCGCGUGCGGGACGAAGGCCUUCGGGUCGUAAACCGCUUUUUUAGGGGAAGAAGAAUGUGACGGUACCCUAAGAAUAAGCCCCGGCUAACUACGUGCCAGCAGCCGCGGUAAUACGUAGGGGGCGAGCGUUGUCCGAAGUUACUGGGCGUAAAGCGCGCGUAGGCGGCCAUCUAAGUUCGGGGUGAAAGGUUCAACGCUCAACGUGAACAGUGCCCUGAAUACUGGCUGGCUUGAGUUCGGGAGGGGGCAGUGGAAUUCCGGGUGUAGCGGUGAAAUGCGUAGAUAUCCGGAGGAACACCGAUGGCGAAGGCAGCUGCCUGGCCCAGAACUGACGCUGAGGUGCGAAAGCGUGGGGAGCGAACGG
rnacentral:rRNA from 1 species